UGGCAGCAGCUGAAAAUGAAAUAUAAAAACAUAAUUCAAUCAGCCAACAGAAAGAAGGCAGAGGCUCGCAAAACGGGGGGAGGACCUGCACCACCACCUCUGACAAAUGCAGAGGAGAUGGCCCUGAGCCUGAAUGCUGGAAGGCCAAUGGCUGAGGGAAUUCCUGGAGGGACUUCAUCAGAGCCAGUCACUCCAGAAGAUUUAAGUGCCUUCAUAAAAUAUUCUGAUGGUAAAAUUAGUCUUUUGGAGCCUCCUGUCCCAACAGAACCACAGGCAGUUGUAAGUAGCCUACUCAAUACACCAGAAAUUAUUACAAAUAGUGUUAGCUCUCACGGGUUUGUGCCCAGGAAACAGCACAAAAAUUCGGAGAAAGCGCUUAAGAGCGAGGCACACUUUCCUUACAACUCUGCAAACAGUAGCCUUAUUGAUAUGUUCUGCAUCCCCAAUGUUAUACAGAAAACUACCAUUUGCAAAGAAACGUAAUGCAACGCAAAGCAUCUGCUCGGAUGUUAGAGCACGGCCGCGAUGGCUGAUGUUUCUGAUGUAAGGAUGGAUGAGAUUAUGGAUGUAUCUUAUUGACUGUAAAGAAAAACGGUACCGCUCAAAUAAAAAUGAAUAUGGAUAUGACAAAAAAUCCACUCUGGGUCUCAAAAUCCUCUCCCGACGUAAAUGCAACUCCCUACGGAUUAAUGCAGCCUCUUCAUCCACAGGAUCGUCCAUAAAAGGACAUGCCAUUUCAUUCACUUGAUUUGAUGCGCUCUGCGUGACUGAAAUGUGCGCAAUGAAUGAAUACCGAAAGAAUGAAUGAGGUGAUUAAAUACCACUU